CAGCAGCCGCGGGAAUACCGAGGGUGCAAGCGUUAAUCGGAAUUACUGGGCGUAAAGCGCGCGUAGGUGGUUUGUUAAGUUGGAUGUGAAAUCCCCGGGCUCAACCUGGGAACUGCAUCCAAAACUGGCAGGCUAGAGCAGGGCAGAGGGUGGUGGAAUUUCCUGUGUAGCGGUGAAAUGCGUAGAUAUAGGAAGGAACGCCCGUGGCGAAAGCGAGGUCCUGGACGUCUGCUGACGCUGAGACGCGAAAGCCAGGGGAGCGAACGGGAUUAGAUACCCCAGUAGUCCCUGUCUCUUAUAC
rnacentral:rRNA from 1 species